rnacentral:rRNA from 1 species
GAGCAUACUCCCGGGAACUGGGGCUAAUACUUCAUAGUGGAUAUGUCCUGGAAUGGUAUAUCCUCGAAAGAUCCGUCGCCUUAGGAUGGGACUGCGUCCGAUUAGGUUGUUGUUGGGGUAACGGCCCAACAAGCCUGUAAUCGAUACGGGUUGUGGGAGCAAGAGCCCGGAGAUGGAAUCUGAGACACGAUUCCAGGCCCUACGGGGCGCAGCAGGCGCGAAAACUUUACAAUGCAGGAAACUGUGAUAAGGGAACUCCGAGUGCCCGUAUACGCGGGCUGUCCAGGUGUUUAAAAAUCAUCUGAAGAAAGGGCCGGGCAAGACCGGUGCCAGCCGCCGCGGUAAUACCGGCGGCUCGAGUGGUGGCCACUAUUAUUGGGCUUAAAGCGUCCGUAGCUGGACCGAUAAGUCUCUUGGGAAAUCCGCCGGCUCAACCGGCGGGCGUCUAAGGGAUACUGUUAGUCUAGGGACCGGGAGAGGUGAGAGGUACUCCGGGGGUAGGAGUGAAAUCCUGUAAUCCCCGGGGGACCACCGAUGGCGAAGGCAUCUCACCAGAACGGCUCCGACAGUGAGGGACGAAAGCUGGGGGAGCGAACCGGAUUAGAUACCCGGGUAGUCCCAGCCGUAAACUAUGCGCGUUAGGUGUACUGGUGACCACGAGUCACCGGGGUGCCGAAGGGAAACCGUGAAACGUGCCGCCUGGGAAGUACGGUCGCAAGGCUGAAACUUAAAGGAAUUGGCGGGGGAGCAC